rnacentral:rRNA from 1 species
GACGAACGCUGGCGGCGCGCCUAAUGCAUGCAAGUCGAGCGACGCACACCGGAGGGGUAACCCACCGGUAUGACGGAGCGGCGAACGGGUGAGUAACACGUGAGCAACCUGCCCCACAGACCGGGAUAGCCCAGGGAAACUUGGAUUAAUACCGGAUACCCUCAUGGAACCACAUGGUUCUUUGAGGAAAUGCCUUAACGCUGUGGGAUGGGCUCGCGGCUUAUCAGCUAGUUGGUGGGGUAACGGCCUACCAAGGCAUCGACGAGUAGCUGGUCUGAGAGGACGAUCAGCCACACUGGGACUGAGACACGGCCCAGACUCCUACGGGUGGCAG